rnacentral:lncRNA from 1 species
CCUAGAGGGACUCAGAAACAUUGAAUAUUUCCAAACAUCUUAUUCUGUGUGAGGAGACAUCUUCGAAACAGAUGGGUGUACUGUCUACUCUGAUUACAUCGGUUAACACCUGACCCAGAUAACAGCAAUACGGCAUGGUGUUCUCUAAAGCUGGAAAAGAUGCUGUUUAUUUCAUGAACUCACCCUUUGUGGGUACUUUCCAGUGCUAACUACAGCGGAAAUCAUUACCCAUCCGAAGUCGGUACCAUCGGCAAUUAUUUCCUUUGGUUGGAGUCACGUGAUUAACUCCGGCCACGAGGACUAUCUGUAAGCAGGAAUAAUGGAUCAUUUCAGGGUCAAGGCAUUUAAGAGCUGCUUGUGCUACCACCACAUUCUGCUAUCCUUCCACAGAGGUCCUGUGUUAUGAUGGAACAGCUUCCAGAUGGUAGAGCUUCCAUGAGCCUGAGUCUCUGAAUGCUAUAAGGACAAGAGAUGCCUUGUUGAUCUAGGCUGAACAUGUAACGUGAAC